rnacentral:rRNA from 1 species
UACGGAGGGUGCAAGCGUUAAUCGGAAUUACUGGGCGUAAAGCGUGCGCAGGCGAUUUGUUAAGUCUGUUGUGAAAUCCCCGAGCUCAACUUGGGAAUUGCAAUGGAUACUGGCAGGCUGGAGUAUGGUAGAGGAAGGUGGAAUUCCCGGUGUAGCAGUGAAAUGCGUAGAGAUCGGGAGGAACACCAGUGGCGAAGGCGGCCUUCUGGACCAAUACUGACACUGAGGUGCGAAAGCGUGGGGAGCAAACAGG